GCCCUCCAGUUCCUUACCCUCAGGUCUGCACACUGUCGGGGUGGCUAUGAAAGGACGAAAAGGAAACUGAAGUGGACUUGGAUUUUUUUAGUGAUACACAAGUUCAUUUCAUGCAAAU
rnacentral:snoRNA from 1 species